rnacentral:tRNA from 1 species
CGGGGUGUAGCGCAGUUGGCUAGCGCGCCACGUUCGGGACGUGGAGGACGGAAGUUCGAGUCUUCUCACCCCGA